rnacentral:misc_RNA from 1 species
ACACCCUCAAGCUCUGCUUGGUGUUGGGCGUCUGUCCCGCCUUCGCGCGCGGACUCGCCUCAAAGUCAUUGGCAGCGGCCUCGCCGGCUCCUCGCGCAGCACAUUUGCGCUUCUCGGAGCUCCCGGCGGGCCCGCGUCCAACAAGAAAACAUUACCGU